rnacentral:tRNA from 1 species
AGAAACUUAGGAUAACUAAUAAACCGAAGGCCUUCAAAGCCUUAAAUAAGAGUUAAACCCUCUUAGUUUCUG